GAAAGGGGAAAAAUAGAUACACAAAAGGAGCAACGGUGUGGAAGCACACAGAGGGAAUGAGGAAGGUGAGAAAAAAAAACACCCAAAAAGGUGUUUGAGAGAGGGGAAGAGGAAAUGGGAGAAAAGGGUACACAAAGGUGUUGGGGGGGAGAUACACAUGAAGGGGCUGAGUGAAGUAAGAGACACACAAAGGAGCUGGGAUAGAAAGAGACACACAAAGGGGAGGUGUAAGAAACACAAAAAUGGAAAAAUGGGGAAUAAGAUAUACUAAAGGGGAUAAGACAUUCAAAAAGAAAGUAUGAGAAACACAAAUGGGGCUGAAGUUAUGAGGGGAUCAAGGGGAAUACAGGUGAAGAUGCGUUUUGGAGUGGGAAUGCAGCCAAAAAUUAUUGCACUGGCCCUGAAUAUAUCCAAAAGCCAAGUUCUCCUACCAAUGCCAUGGAGCAGGGGUAGGCAACCUUCGGCACUCCAUAUGUUGUGGACUGCAUUUCCCCUGAUGCUUUGCCAGCAUUAUGGUUGUAAAUGCAUUGUGGGAGAUGUAGUUCACAUCUGGAGUGCAAGAGGCUGCCUACCCCUGCCAUAGAGUAUAGUUAUGCCUGCUGACCAUAAUGUUGUAGCAAUGGAGACCCUGCACAGGCCUCUCAUAUUACCCAAUUCCAUGCAGUAUGAAGUCCUGUGUGAUGAAACCAUUGGUAUGCACAAGCAGUGUGCCCGCUGUGCUCAGGUUUACCAUAAUAUAGGUCUUAACUGUCCACAUUCUCCUUGAUUUAGGUCCCUACCUGCAUUAACGUGCCAUUUUGAAGUAACUAUCUUUCUGGUUGAAUAUAAAGAUUGAGUUCACACACUAACAUAUAUGGACAGAGUGUCACACUGCAUAUUGGAAUUGAUUUAAUUGUCCACAAAACAUAUUGCCUGGCAACCAGUGCUUUGCAGUGGGGAGUGGGCUAUCUCAGCUCAGGAGGAGGAAACCAGGACCAACUAACUGUCUGUCAAACCAACAGUUGCCGCAAGACCAUCAAGGCAAGGUAGAAUGGAGUUAGAGAACACAGGGAAAUUGUCUCCACAAACACACAUGAAAGUUGUGUUGAUAUUUUAAAUCACCACAAUAUCCAGUUUAUGCACAAGUAACCGUCAGUGAAGCCAUUUCAUGCCCAGCCACAUAGCAACAGCUCAAUGCACAAAACCUCUGCUUAAUGAGAAAUAAUGGACAAAAAUGUUGCCUGCUUAGCUUCUUACUAGAAAGCACCAUGCAACUGUCGAUCUAUCUGGACAAUGUAAUUACUAAG